GUCUUCGUGGUGUAGUGGUUAGCACACUUGGCAUGUAUUCGAGAGGUCCGUGGUUCGAGUCCAGGCCAAGGCA
rnacentral:tRNA from 1 species